rnacentral:rRNA from 1 species
AGCCUACGGCUCAACCGUAGAACUGCAUCCAAAACUAUUUAGCUAGAGUGUGGGAGAGGAAGAUGGAAUUAGUUGUGUAGGGGUAAAAUCCGUAGAGAUAACUAGGAAUACCAAAAGCGAAGGCAAUCUUCUGGAACAUUACUGACGCUGAGGCGCGAAAGCGUGGGGAGCAAACAGGAUUAGAUACCCUGGUAGUCCACGCCCUAAACGAUGAAUGUUAGUCGUCGGGUAGCUAGUCUAUUCGGUGAUGCAGCUAACGCAUUAAACAUUCCGCCUGGGGAGUACGGUCGCGAGAUUAAAACUCAAAGGAAUAGACGGGGACCCGCACAAGUGGUGGAGCAUGUGGUUUAAUUCGAAGAUACGCGAAGAACCUUACCUAGCCUUGACAUAUUUAAGAACUCCGUAGAGAUACAGAGGUGCCUUCGGGAGCUUUCUUACAGGUGCUGCACGGCUGUCGUCAGCUCGUGUCGUGAGAUGUUGGGUUAAGUCCCGCAACGAGCGCAACCCUCGUCACUAGUUACUAACGGUUCGGCCGAGGACUCUAGUGAGACUGCCUUCGUAAGGAGGAGGAAGGUGAGGACGACGUCAAGUCAUCAUGGCCCUUACGGCUAGGGCAACACACGUGCUACAAUGGCCAGGACAGUGAGACGCGAUACCGUGAGGUGGAGCAAAUCUAUAAACCUGGUCUCAGUUCGGAUUGUAGUCUGCAACUCGACUACAUGAAGCUGGAAUCACUAGUAAUCGUAGAUCAGCUAUGCUACGGUGAAUACGUUCCCGGGUCUUGUACUCACCGCCCGUCACACCAUGGGAGUUGAUUUCACCCGAAGCGGGGAAGCUAAACUGGCUACCCUCCACGGUGGAAUUAGCGACUGGGGUGAAGUCGUAACAAGGUAACC